rnacentral:snoRNA from 1 species
UGUUGUCAUCAGCUUCUUCCUUAGACUUACGGGACUGGAGUUAAAUAACAGCACUACAUUU